UGGGUGUGACAGUGCUACACUGGGUGUGACAACACUGUGCCAGGUGUGACAACACUACAUUGGGUGUGACAACACUACAUGGGGUGUGACAACAUGACAUUGGGUGUGACAACACUCCCAUGGGUGUGACAGUGCUACAUUGGGUGUGACAACACUACAUUAGGUGUGACAACACUGUGCCAGGUGUGACAACACUACAUUGGGUGUGACAACACUCCCGUGGGUGUGACAGUGCUACUUUGGGUGUAACAGUGCUAUGUUGAGUGUAAUGACACUGAGUUGGGUGUGACAAACCGACAUCGGGUGUGACAGCGCUGCACUGAGUGUGACAGCACUGCUUUGGGUGUGACAGUGCCACACUGGGACUGAUAACACUGCGUUGGGUGUGACAAUGGUGUCAGGUGUGACAGCACUGUGUUGGGUGUAACAGUGCUAUGUUGGGUGUGACAACACUGUGCCACGUGUGACAGUCCUACAUUGGGUGUAACAGUGCUAUGUUGGGUGUGACAGCACUGUGUUGGGUGUGACAACACUACAUUGGUGUAACAACACUGUAUUGGGUGUAACAGUGCUAUGUUGGGUGU
rnacentral:lncRNA from 1 species